rnacentral:tRNA from 1 species
UACCCGGUAGUGUAACGGUAACACUAGGGAUUUUGGCUCCCUCAUUCUAGGUUCGAAUCCUAGCCGGGUAG